rnacentral:rRNA from 1 species
GAUUUAACGCUGGCGGCAGGCCUAACACAUGCAAGUCGAGCGGAUGACGGGAGCUUGCUCCUGGAUUCAGCGGCGGACGGGUGAGUAAUGCCUAGGAAUCUGCCUGGUAGUGGGGGAUAACGUCCGGAAACGGGCGCUAAUACCGCAUACGUCCUGAGGGAGAAAGUGGGGGAUCUUCGGACCUCACGCUAUCAGAUGAGCCUAGGUCGGAUUAGCUAGUUGGUGGGGUAAAGGCCUACCAAGGCGACGAUCCGUAACUGGUCUGAGAGGAUGAUCAGUCACACUGGAACUGAGACACGGUCCAGACUCCUACGGGAGGCAGCAGUGGGGAAUAUUGGACAAUGGGCGAAAGCCUGAUCCAGCCAUGCCGCGUGUGUGAAGAAGGUCUUCGGAUUGUAAAGCACUUUAAGUUGGGAGGAAGGGCAGUAAGUUAAUACCUUGCUGUUUUGACGUUACCAACAGAAUAAGCACCGGCUAACUUCGUG